ensembl:lncRNA
UCUGUCCUCACCGAUCUAUGAAGAUAGUCAUGGAGAUGAGGGGAAGGAAUGGCAAGAGAGUUUUAUGGUAGAGAAUGGGCCUAACGAGUCUGGGUGGAGACAUUAGAAUGAGGAAGUAGCGAAGUAGGAAGACGGAAAGGCCACCAUAUGAGGCUUGAUUGCCAAACCAAACCACCAUAUUCCUAGAGAAAGAACCCAGAGAAAUCAAAGCCUAUGCACCUAGAAGCUUCAACUUACUGGCUAGCUUUUGUAAUACUGGAAAGUGCUAUGCAUGCCACCAGAGGAGAAAAGUAAUCACUACUCUUACCUAGCUGUGAAGUCUGCAAGCUACAACAAUGACCGGCCUUGCAAGACAAGUCUACUAGUGCAAUAGUGCUAUGAAUGUUGUGGGAAUGACUAAUCACUUAUUGAUUAGAGAUAUAGAACUCUCAGCCCCUUUUCCUGUCUGCCUGCAUGCCACCAUGCUUCCUGCUAUGACAAUAAUGGACUAAACCUCUGAAGCAGUAAGCCAGCCCCAAUGAAAUGUUUUCCUUUAUAAGAGUUGCCAUGGUCAUGGUGUCUCUUCACAACAACAGAACCGUGAUGACACACCUUCCUCCCUCAUUUCUCUUCAUGCUGCAUACUUAGUUAACGAGGACCACUUUCUCUGAAGGAAAUGGAUCAUCAUUUGGCCAAGGGUGUGAUGCCUGACGGUAUAAUCAUCUGGCUGCAUCUCUGAAACAGCACUAGGAAUUGGGAAGCAUGUUAGCAAACACUCGAUGAAGCCACUCUGAAGAAAACAUCAUUAAUCAUGGCAUCUGAUAAGUGACAUGCAGGGUCCAGAUCCAUUUCGACAUUACACUCAUACUGAAUUCCUGCAGUCGGUCCUUGGUGCAUAGGGAUUAGGCAUCUUUCUGUGAAUGAGAUUAGGGCUUAGGUAUCUUUAUUUAACACAAUUUCUUUAUUGAAUCUUUGGGAAUUUCACAUCAUACACCCCAAUUCUACUCACCUUCCAUCCCCUUCAUUUCCUUCCUUACCCCCUUCAGCAGCCCCCUGAAAGAAAAUAAAAAACAAAACAAAACAAACCAAAACAAGCAAACAAAAAGAAAAUCAACAACAAUAUCAUAACCAGAACUUCCAUCUUUCUCACCUCUCCAACACCUCUUCAUUUGUCCUGGUAGCAUUGGGACCCUUGGUGUGUCACACAUUGUACCCUUUUGUCCUAUCAGCUUGACUGGCAAAUGUUCAUUGCAAUGAGUCACUGGUCUGUUCAAGGCCUCUGGUUUCUGGUACACCAUCUUCUCUGGAUCCUCACUGAAACGCUACUUGGAUAUCCCUCUGUUGCCCCAAGUCAUAGAGAUCCUGUGUUUAUCAUUUUACAGGACCAGUUCUUUUCACAGACCAGCUCAUUUACCCCUCCCCCCCACUGCCCACCCUAGCAUCUGCCCCAUCUGGGAUUAGGCAUCUUUAUUGUGAAUGAAAUUAGGGAUUAGCCAUCUUUAUUGUGAAUGAAAUUAGGGAUUGGGCAUCUUUAUUGUGAAUGAAAUGUGGGACUAGGCAUCUUUAUUGUGAAUGAGAGAUGUAUAUUUCCCAAAAUGCAACCUCCCCAAGAUGCUGUGGUUUCCAAUUGCAGAUGUUUUCCAGUGCAAUUUUCUUUGCUCAUUGCUGCUCAGUUUCCCCAAAAUGUACAAUUUCCAUCGUAUCAAUCACCUACUGGAAAUACAUUACAAAAACCUAUGAGAGUGCCCCAUUGCUUUUUUGAGUAAAUAAAAAACCUUAAGUUGGUAUUUAAGACAUUUCAUUAUUGCUAGGUUUAUCCUUCCCUAGGGAAUUUUCAUUCAACUUAAAAAAAAUCGGCAGAUGCAUACUAGCUGAGUGUCUAUGAUUCUAUUGCUUCUUGAGUGAUGUUCCUGCCUCUUCUGAGAUGGUUGUGUUCAUGAGUCACAUACCUAUUUCUUUUGCAAAAGGUUGUGCAGGCACUCCCCGGGGCUUCUAUCCAGAGCACGCUUUACCAAUAAUGAAUUUCUUCAUUUUAGCAUCUUUUGCAAAUCUAUGUAGGCUGAGAACUUACUAAGUAAUUGGCUUCGGGCUCCUGGCACUGUUUACUGUGUUGUUCCUUUCACACUUUCCCCUGUUUUCUCAUAAGUAGCAAAGAGGAAUGAAACUCUAAAUAUUUAGGCUAGAAUCUCCUAGGCCAAAAAUGUCCAAGUUCACCACUUCCAGCUUAUUUUAU